UAUUGCUAGCGAAAUAUGGAUG
rnacentral:siRNA from 1 species